AUACGGAGGAUGCAAGCGUUAUCCGGAUUUAUUGGGUUUAAAGGGUGCGUAGGCGGAUGAUUAAGCGUGAGGUGAAAUGCCACUGCUCAACAGUGGAACUGCCUCGCGAACUGGCUGUCUUGAAUGCUCCUGCGGUGGGAGGAAUGUGUGGUGUAGCGGUGAAAUGCAUAGAGAUCACACAGAACACCGAUUGCGAAGGCAUCUCACGAAGGGGUGAUUGACGCUGAGGCACGAAAGCGUGGGGAACAAACAGGAUUAGAUCCCCUGGUAGUCCACGCAGUAAACGAUGAUAACUAACCGCUGGGUCGUAGUGAUUCAGUGGCCAAGCGAAAGCGAUAAGUUAUCCACCUGGGGAGUACGACCGCAAGGUUGAAACUCAAAGGAAUUGACGGGG
rnacentral:rRNA from 1 species